rnacentral:tRNA from 1 species
GUUCCCAGCGGCUCUCUGUUUCAUAUGUGAUAAAGUGUAUUUUUCAACGUUACUCGUGGACUCUUCCCUCCCUCUCCUCCCCGGCCUGUUCCCUCUGUCUGCGUCUCCUCGGCUGCCCUGCAAAGAGGUUCUUCAAUACCAUCUUUGUAGAGUCCACACACACGCCUUAACAUACAUUUGUUUUUUCUCUUCCUGACUUCACUCUGUAAAAUAAGCGCCAGGCUCUUCUACUUUAUUCUCUUUCUAGUUCAUCCUGCCUUCCUGGUUCGGACCACGCUCCGCGAGCUGCGGGAGUUCCAAUCUUCCCCGCGCGUCCGGGGGCGGCGGCUCCCGGCUCUGCAGGAACCUGCCUUCGGCUGCCAGAGAGCCGCCUAGUCCCCUCCCCUCCGCCCUCCCCACUUGGCCGCGCCCCGCCGCGGAACCUGCAGACUGGAACUGAGACGCUCGCUGGAGGAAGCCGGAAACGCCCGGAGCGCCUCGCCCACAAUCCUCAGCGCCAGCCUUCGUACGGCUUUCACUCAUCAGAGUGUGCUUCCGAGUCGUGAGCCCGGAUAGCUCAGUCGGUAGAGCAUCAGACUUUUAAUCUGAGGGUCCAGGGUUCAAGUCCCUGUUCGGGCGCAAUUUUGACUUUUUAACAAAAAUACCGGGGUUUUUGAAAGUGAGAGCCAGGUAUAGAGCCUCCGUUUGUUAGCCUCUUU